UCUCCGUAGGUGAACCUGCGGAGGGAUCAUUACUGAGUGAGGGCCCUCGUGGUCCGACCUCCAACCCAUUGUUGUCCGACUCUGUUGCCUCGGGGGCGACCCUGCCGUCCGCGGCUGAGCGCCCCCGGGGUCAAUCAAACACUGCAUUCUCUGCGUCGGAGUAUUAGUAAAUCUAAUCAAAACUUUCAACAACGGAUCUCUUGGUUCUGGCAUCGAUGAAGAACGCAGC
rnacentral:misc_RNA from 1 species